rnacentral:misc_RNA from 1 species
GGAUUAAUUUUAUACUCCGUUUAUCAUAUCACGUCCACCCCUGAAUAUUGGGCUUUACCUGCUUGGAACUUGGCCAAUAUCUUGACCGUGUGCCGUCUAAGUUGUGUCUAGCGAUCGCCGGUGAGAGAGCAAGUAGUGAGGUUUUUUGUGUGAAAGCCAGAAUUUCAGGUUGGAAGUAUUGACACACACUACUCGUCAUUUAAAAGUUUGGACCCUUCUUCAUUCAUACACAAGAUGUCAGAAAGGAUGGAUGACUGGAACCCACCUGAAUCAUUGAAGAGAAUAACUUGCAUCAUAAUGAUUCGUGCCAGCCAUCAAAAUAAGGAUAUUAUGACUGCUGCUCAAUGCUCCCUGAACACAGUAAAAACAAUCAGGCAUGAACUAGAGACUUGCAAUAGUGACUAUGAGGAUGUAGCAAGAAGAAAGAUCCCUAGCAGACGAUCUGAUUGCGUUUAUACAGCAGAAUUCCUCGCAAAUCUGCAGGAACAGGUGUUGAAGAACCCUGGCAUUGGAAUUCGGGCUUUGUCACGUGCUAAACACUGUAGUCAAGCCCUGGAUAACAAAGGUAGCCAAAGGUAGGCCGUAUGUAUGGCAGUAGGAUUUGGCCCCUUGCCACACCUCUGGGAAAAGUCAAAAAUGGUUGUUUGAAAUUUCUACGUUUUUCAAACUCCAAACUCCCCAGACCUUAACCCCAUGGAUUAUUUUGUAUGGGGUGCAGUUGAAGAAGACACCAAUCGCACUUCCAGUAAUAUAAAAGCCCAGUUAAUGGAUAAAAUUAAAACAGUUUUUGAGGCCCUUCCCAGGGAGACUGUAGCAUCAGCUUGUUCGAAGUUUCGAAGCAGGAAUGAAGCUGUGAUCGAUGCUAAUGGUGGUUAUUUUGAGUGAAUCUUGUUGAUACUAUUGUAAUUUACUCUGCCUGUAAUUUUUUUUGUCAAUUCAUUAAAUUUAAUAGAUGCAAAGCGGA